rnacentral:rRNA from 1 species
AUGCUUCCCUGGAAAGGCCCUUUUCAGAAGAGGAAAUUAAAGAAGCCAUCAUGGGCUCAUAUGCUAGUGGGCCCCCCCGGCCCUGAUGGCCUCUCAUUUCUUUUUUAUCAACACUUUUGGGAGGUUAUCAAACAUGAUUUUAUGGCACCGGUGAGAGAUUUUGAGAAUGGGACCCUGGAUAUCCAGAGAUUAAAUUAUUCUAUUGUUACCCUGAUCCAUAAAGAGCCAGAUGCCAAAAAUAUGAGGAAAAUUAGGCCAAUUUGUUUGAGUAACUGCUCUGUUAAGAUCUUUAGUAAAGCUAUGACAAACAGGGUUGGCCAUGUAGGUCAUAGGCUUCUAUCUCCAUGCCAAUCUGCUUUUGUAAGAGGCAGAUUUAUUUUAGAAAGUGUGGUUACUGCCCAUGAGGCCAUUCAUGAAGUUCAUAAAUCAAAUGAGUCUGGGAUUGUUCUCAAAAUAGAUUAUGAAAAAGCCUAUGAUCGAGUGAACUGGGAUUUCCUAGUAGAGAUACUAACUUCUAGGGGUUUUGGAGCUAAGUGGAUUAGAUGGAACCUCUCCAUUUUGCAACAAAGCUCUUUCUGUGUUAAAAUUAAUGAUGUCCUAGGACCUUACUUUGUAGGGGGGAAAGGUCUCAAGCAAGGAGAUCCAAGCUCCCCCAUGCUUUUCAAUUUGGUGGCUGGCGUGUUCUCUCGUAUGCUGGCCAAAGCUGUUAACAACAAUAUUAUCUCUGGGAUUGUUCCCCAUAUCAUCCCACAAGGAAUGAUAUGUCUGCAGUAUGCUGAUGAUACAAUCCUCUUUCUUAAUCCUAAACCUGAAUAUGUUAGGAAUUUAAAAUGGCUCCUGGCAUGUUUUGAAAACCUUUCUGGGUUGAAUAUUAACUAUGACAAAUGUGAGGUAGUGCCAAUUAAUAUGAAUGAAGAUGAUGCUAAGCUACUUUCCCAAAUAUUUUGCUGUAAGUUGGGGGAUUUCCCUCUAAUACCUAGGAGUUCCAUUACAUUACCUCAAGCUGAGGAGAGAAGACAUUUAGUAUAUCAUAGACAAAAUUAUUAA